AGUUUGGAAAAAGAAGAUAUCUACUAAAGAAGAUAUUGUUGGCUUCCGGCACCCAGGUCAUGGAGACCUCACAGAAUGGGCUAAACAGGGCGUUCUGCUGCUGAAUUCUGUGUUGACAGUGAGAGCUCAUCAACCCACCUCUCAUGAGUGUCAAGGCUGGUAGAUUUUCACAGAUGCUGUGGUCCUGUGGCUCAGCAGGAACCUCAAUGGUCUGGUCUUUCUGCUUUGGGGCUCUUAUGCUCAGAGAAAAGGCAGAGUGAUUGACAGAAAACGUCAUCAUGUCCUUGAGACUACACAUCCAACACCGUACUCAGCACAUUUAGGCUUCUUUGGAUGUAGGCACUUUUCUAAAACUAACAUGCUACUUAAAACAUCAGGAAAGAAGCAAGUUGACUGGAAAGC